GCAGUAAUCCGGCUUCUCUCUGCUCUAAAGAAACCAUGUACCAGGGAGCGGCUGCUGCUAUUUUAACGCUACUACUACGUCCAGUUACUGUUCAGGUAAGUAUAUAUGUAGUCAAAACUUUGUACUGUGCAGAAAAUAUUUUGGCAAUACACGCUUGAAUAUGUAGCUAGUUUACAAAUUAAAUAUUAAUUAUUGGCAUGAACAAACACUAUCAAAAAAUUAUAUAGAGCUACUAGCAUGGCUAAGAGGCCACACUAGAUCAGUGAGGAGGUGCUGCAUGAAAUUGUAGGCUACCCACUAGCUCUGGGACCUGCACAGAUUGACAUAGAAGACCCAGUAGCCAGAGUACAGCAAGGUAACAGAGAUGUGCCAGUCAUGGAGGGCAGUGAUGAUGAGUUUUCUGAUUGAGAACAGUUUGGAGAGGAGCUUGAAGAUCUGGAUAGGACAUCGACACUGCAUGAGCUGACCACUGUUGUGAAAGUCCUACCACCAACGUCAACCUUCCUGUACAUGGCAUUGUCAGUGCGCGUGUAUGUGUAGGCGACUCCAAGGUACUCCAAAAGGGACCCAGUGGCAGUGCAUAGUGUGACAGCAAAGUAUCAGCAGUAGCCACAGACAUUAGAUACUUUUUAUAUCUAUUGUUAGUUACGCAAAGAAUUAUAAUCGUUACUGAUGGUCCAAAAAAUGUUUUUCAAGGCUCGAAGAACAAAAGGCGAGGCUAUUAUUUUACUAUUCAAGGGCUAUAUAUAAUUACAUAAUAGGUUAUACACACGAGUUCUAAACAUAAUGUUGGGGUAGUCAACAAACAUAAUAUGUACCCUGGCUCACCUCGCUGCUACUGCCACUGUUCCUCUGUUCACUGUACAUACGUGGCCCCACCUCUGAUUAUUGGAUCCAGCCACACCUACACGUAGUGUACGUAUGUACACAAAGAAGGCUAAUCAAUGCUGCUUAGCACUACCAAUUCUAGAUACAACUACUAUCUACUAUGUACAGUCAGUACCAGACCAUAGAGCUUCUAGCGAUUCUACAAACGCAUGCAACAAGUACUGUAGCAACUACAACCGGUUGUAUUUUUAAUAUUAAUUUUAUGGGCCUGAUUUUAAAUAAAUUGAAGUCUAUAAUAGGUGAUGCAGGUCCUAAAGUAGACUCUAAACAUUCAGUAGAGUCAACAUACAGUUUAGGAAGCUUGUACUCACCUUUUUACCACUGCCACUGUUUCUCUUUACACAUAGCUGCCUCAGGUUAUAAGCCACACCCAGUACCUUGUGUAGCUGCACAGAAAAAGGCUAAGCAACGCUUCUCAGCACUACAAACUCUACAGCUACGUCCUAUAUACUUACUACAAUAAGUAGUAGGCUGUAUGCUUCUAGUGUAUCUAAAAAGCCAUGUAACAAAGCAGUAUUAUACGUAACUACUACUUACCUUGACAGAAGCAGAUCACAGCCAAACCUUCGAGAUAGUAAGCGAUUCGGGCAUCAUCCUGUAGAUCUUUGACUGGUCUUUCUUCCUAGUCUAACUUGCACAAUCAAAAGUCGAAGCGCUUUCAAGUUAUGAACAGUUUUCUAAGAACUGAUUAAUUUGUGCAUUUUUUAAAAA